GAUGAACGCUGGCGGCGUGCCUAAUACAUGCAAGUCGAGCGAAUGGAUUAAGAGCUUGCUCUUAUGAAGUUAGCGGCGGACGGGUGAGUAACACGUGGGUAACCUGCCCAUAAGACUGGGAUAACUCCGGGAAACCGGGGCUAAUACCGGAUAACAUUUUGAACCGCAUGGUUCGAAAUUGAAAGGCGGCUUCGGCUGUCGCUUAUGGAUGGACCCGCGUCGCAUUAGCUAGUUGGUGAGGUAACGGCUCACAAAGGCAACGAUGCGUAGCCGACCUGAGAGGGUGAUCGGCCACACUGGGACUGAGACACGGCCCAGACUCCUACGGGAGGCAGCAGUAGGGAAUCUUCCGCAAUGGACGAAAGUCUGACGGAGCAACGCCGCGUGAGUGAUGAAGGCUUUCGGGUCGUAAAACUCUGUUGUUAGGGAAGAACAAGUGCUAGUUGAAUAAGCUGGCACCUUGACGGUACCUAACCAGAAAGCCACGGCUAACUACGUGCCAGCCGCCGCGGUAA
rnacentral:rRNA from 1 species